rnacentral:tRNA from 1 species
GGGGCCGUGGCACAGCGGGUGGCGCGUCUGCUUCGCCAGCAGAGGGUCGCCGGGCCGAAUCCGGUCGGACCCG